rnacentral:rRNA from 1 species
GAUGAACGCUGGCGGCGUGCCUAAUACAUGCAAGUCGAGCGAACAGAUGAGGAGCUUGCUCCUCUGACGUUAGCGGCGGACGGGUGAGUAACACGUGGAUAACCUACCUAUAAGACUGGGAUAACUUCGGGAGACCGGAGCUAAUACCGGAUAAUAUAUUGAACCGCAUGGUUCAAUAGUGAAAGACGGUUUUGCUGUCACUUAUAGAUGGAUCCGCGCCGCAUUAGCUAGUUGGUAAGGUAACGGCUUACCAAGGCAACGAUGCGUAGCCGACCUGAGAGGGGGAUCGGCCACACUGGAACUGAGACACGGUCCAGACUCCUACGGGAGGCAGCAGUGGGGAAUCUUCCGCAAUGGGCGAAAGCCUGACGGAGCAACGCCGCGUGAGUGAUGAAGGUCUUCGGAUCGUAAAACUCUGUUAUUAGGGAAGAACAAAUGUGUAAGUAACUAUGCACGUCUUGACGGUACCUAAUCAGAAAGCCACGGCUAACUACGUG